UGACAUUUAAAUGGCUUUUUACCAGAAUGAAUAUAUUCAUGCUGCUUUAAACUAUUGGAUUGGAUAAAUUCUUUUUUACAAAGUUGACAUUUAAAUGGCUUUUUACCACCAUGAAUCAUCUCAUGUCUUUUUAAAUUAGAGGAGGAAGAGAAUUCUUUUUUACAAAUUUGACAUUUAAAUGGCAUUGUGUCAGAAUGAAUAUUUUCAUG